UGGAAAGGACUGUGACAGUUACACUGGAGUACAGGCUUCUGAUAAACUUGUUGAUCAUAAAACUGAACUGGGACACAAUUGGAAACACUGGUUAUAUUACCAAGGCUGUGACUGGAACAUCAUAUUUGCGAUGUAGCCAUACAGUUUAGAGGAAUGAAGAUUGGACUUUAUGGAAUAAAGCCAUGUGGAAAUA